rnacentral:rRNA from 1 species
UACGAGGGGGGCAAGCGUUGUUCGGAAUUAUUGGGCGUAAAGGGCGCGUAGGCGGUGCGGCAAGUCACCUGUGAAAACUCUGGGCUCAACUCAGAGCCUGCAGGCGAAACUGCCGUGCUUGAGUGCCGGAGAGGGUCGCGGAAUUCCCGGUGUAGAGGUGAAAUUCGUAGAUAUCGGGAGGAACACCAGUGGCGAAGGCGGCGACCUGGACGGACACUGACGCUGAGACGCGAAAGCGUGGGGAGCAAACAGG